UACGGGGGGGUGCGAGCGUUAAUCGGAAUUACUGGGCGUAAAGGGUGCGUAGGUGGUUUGAUAAGUUAUCUGUAAAAAGCCCUGGGCUUAACCUAGGAAUGAGAGAUAAGACUGUUAGACUAGAGUGUAGGAGAGGGUAGUGGAAUUUCCGGUGUAGCGGUGAAAUGCGUAGAGAUCGGAAGGAACACCAGUGGCGAAGGCGGCUACCUGGCCUGAUACUGACACUGAGGCACGAAGGCGUGGGGGAGCGAACGGG
rnacentral:rRNA from 1 species